rnacentral:rRNA from 1 species
GAUGAACGCUGGCGGCGUGCCUAAUACAUGCAAGUCGAGCGAACAGACGAGGAGCUUGCUCCUCUGACGUUAGCGGCGGACGGGUGAGUAACACGUGGAUAACCUACCUAUAAGACUGGGAUAACUUCGGGAAACCGGAGCUAAUACCGGAUAAUAUAUUGAACCGCAUGGUUCAAUAGUGAAAGACGGUUUUGCUGUCACUUAUAGAUGGAUCCGCGCCGCAUUAGCUAGUUGGUAAGGUAACGGCUUACCAAGGCGACGAUGCGUAGCCGACCUGAGAGGGUGAUCGGCCACACUGGAACUGAGAAAGGGCCAAACACCCGCGGGAGGGCAGCGAGGGGAAUUUUUCCGAAAGGGGGGAAAGCCGGAGGGACCAACGCGGGGUGAGUGAUAAAGGUCUUCGGUCCUAAAAACCCUGUUAUUAGGGAAAAAAAAAUGUUAAAGUACCAAUGCCCGUCUUACGGGGACCAAAUCAAAAGACCCCGGCGAACUCCGG